rnacentral:rRNA from 1 species
UCCUACGGGAGGCAGCAGUGGGGGAUAUUGGACAAUGGGGGAAACCCUGAUCCAGCGAUGCCGCGUGAGGGAAGAAGGUUUUCGGAUUGUAAACCUCUGUGGACAGGGACGAUAAUGACGGUACCUGUCAAGAAAGCCACGGCUAACUACGUGCCAGCAGCCGCGGUAAUACGUAGGUGGCGAGCGUUGUCCGGAAUUACUGGGUGUAAAGGGAGUGUAGGCGGGAAGGCAAGUCAGAAGUGAAAAUUAUGGGCUCAACCCAUAACCUGCUUUUGAAACUGUUUUUCUUGAGUGAAGCAGAGGCAAGCGGAAUUCCUAGUGUAGCGGUGAAAUGCGUAGAUAUUAGGAGGAACACCAGUGGCGAAGGCGGCUUGCUGGGCUUUUACUGACGCUGAGGCUCGAAAGCGUGGGGAGCAAACAGGAUUAGAUACCCUGGUAGUCCACGC